CUCGGGUAAACAGACCUUUUCCCACUGCCACCUCUGGGGCAAAAAAUACACUGUGCUUGCUCAAUUCCCAAUCCUUCCAAAAUAUCGAAGAUUACAUUAAAUGAGAAUUCAACUGCGAACUCACAUGGAAGUACAGAACUUAUCCAGAAAAUAAUAUGUAGAGCACCAUGAUGAUCAGUGAGAAGAUAUAAUAAAAAGUUUGCAGAUGCAGAUAUUUCCUGAGAAAACCCCAAUUUAUAACAUUUAACAUCAAGUUCCUAUGAAUGUACGCAAGAGG